CGCUAUAGUGCGCGGAGUUUCUGGACGGAGUCGGGGACUCCAGGGACGCAAAACAUACUGGUGUGUGUCUCGGCAUUCUUGUUCGAGCCUUGGGUGUUUAUUGGGUGUAGCUUUUAACACGUUGUAUAGUUGUUUCACGGUUUUGGGCAGGUGAGAGAUAGAUUUGGAAUUUUUUGAAAGCUUCUCGAGGAAUCAUUGGAUUUGAAAACUUCAGAUUUAGCUGACGCCCUCGCAACCGGUCUGGAGAUUUGCAUGGCGACCGUGCACGGAUUCUGGAUCGUUUCUACGCGCUUCGACUUCAGCCUUCGACGAAACAACGCUAAGUUUAGACUCGCAGAAAGAUUAUCCAGAUGGAAAAAGAGAAACGGAAUAUUUCUGCGAUUUAUUGGGAUACGUAAAAGCUGGCGAAUUAUGACGAUCUAUGAGAAAUGAUUCAGGAAAAAAGAUGGAAAAAUAUUUGUCGAGAAUGACGUACGACAACGUGGGAAAAGGUACUGUGAAAGCCUCGAUAAAAGCGUAACCGAGUGAAGGCUACGAGACGCGGUAUCAAAUAAACGCCCUGAAAAGUUCUUUAUAAUUGCCCUAAUUUCAUUUAAUGGUCCACAACGUUGCAAAGUAACAUAUGAAAUUGGAGAUAAUUGGCAGCAGAGCUGUUUCGUACUUGGCAAAGUGAAUGGAUCUAGCAUGGAGGACCUUGUUCCUAAAUGUCUUUGCGUGAACAGAAAAAUAAUAAAAAUACCUACUACCAAUGAAAAAAAAAUAAUAAACUCAAGUGCAAAUUGUUUUCCAAUACUUUCCAGCCCAGAUUUCUAAUUUCUUCAAAGAUCCUCCGUUCUAAAAAAAAAUAUU